rnacentral:rRNA from 1 species
AUUCUUCGGAUGAAGACUUUUGUGACUGAGCGGCGGACGGGUGAGUAACGCGUAGGUAACCUGCCCCAUACAGAGGGAUAGCCACUGGAAACGGUGAUUAAUACCUCAUGACACUUUCUCUUCGCAUGGAGGGAAGGUCAAAGAUUUAUCGGUAUGGGAUGGACCUGCGUCUGAUUAGCUUGUUGGUGGGGUAACGGCCUACCAAGGCGACGAUCAGUAGCCGACCUGAGAGGGUGAUCGGCCACAUUGGAACUGAGACACGGUCCAAACUCC